rnacentral:tRNA from 1 species
GCCUGGGUGGCUCAGUCGGUUGAGCGUCUGACUUCGGCUCAGGUCAUGAUCUCGCAGUUGAUGGGUUCAAGCCCCACAUCAGGCU